rfam:Orientia tsutsugamushi str. TT76 ut76.contig.24_1, whole genome shotgun sequence.
UUUAUUGUAAAUAAAAAAUCAUAAUGUUAUAAUUAAUAAGCUAAUAAGCUAUGGCAAUAAGUUUUAUUAAGAAUAGAGGUAGUGGACCCGGGGGCAGUACUCGGCACCUCCACCAAGCUAUGAAGUGGUUGUAUCUUAUGGGGGUGACAAAGUUUCGACACACCUAAUAAAAUAAUAAAUUUUGCCCGAUAUGAUUCCGUCGUUUUAAGCAGUAUUUAUAAAAAUUGUUUAAAUGGGUCAAAAAAAGAAAUGCAAAUGAUAACAAAAAGCAUUCUACAGACGUUGGUCUCCAAGGGUUUGCAUUAGCAGCUUAAAGGAAUUAACGUACUGAGCGGUAGUAGGGCUUACCGGGCAACAGAAAAGCCCUAAU